rnacentral:rRNA from 1 species
GACGAACGCUGGCGGCGUGCUUAACACAUGCAAGUCGAACGGUAAGGCCCUUCGGGGUACACGAGUGGCGAACGGGUGAGUAACACGUGGGUGAUCUGCCCUGCACUUCGGGAUAAGCCUGGGAAACUGGGUCUAAUACCGGAUAGGACCACUGCCUGCAUGGGUGGUGGUGGAAAGCUUUUGCGGUGUGGGAUGGGCCGGCGGCCUAUCAGCUUGUUGGUGGGGUGAUGGCCUAGCAAGGCGACGACGGGUAGCCCGCCUGAGAGGGUGAGCGGCCACCCUGGGACUGCGAUACGGCCCAGACUCCUACGGGAGGCAGCAGUGGGGAAUAUUGCACAAUGGGCGCAAGCCUGAUGCAGCGACGCCGCGUGAGGGAUGACGGCCUUCGGGUUGUAAACCUCUUUCAGCACCGACGAAGCGCAAGUGACGGUAGGUGCAGAAGAAGGACCGGCCAACUACGUGCCAGCAGCCGCCGUAA